UUGACCUCGAAUCAGGUAGGACUACCCGCUGAACUUAAGCAUAUCAUAA
rnacentral:rRNA from 2 species